rnacentral:rRNA from 1 species
AAAUCCGCUUUGAUAAUGCUGGGAUGUGAUGGGGAGCGAAAUUUAGUAGCGAAGUAGCUGAUUUCACACUGUCAAGAAAAGUCUCUAUCGAGGUUAAAGGUACCCGUACCGCAAACCGACACAGGUGGGUGAGGAGAGUAUCCUAAGGCCAGCGAGAGAACUGUUGUUAAGGAACUCGGCAAAAUGACCCCGUAACUUAGGGAUAAGGGGUGCCACCAUCAGGUGGCCGCAGAGAAUAGGCCCAAGCGACUGUUUACCAAAAACAUAGGUUUCUGCUAAGUCGCAAGACGAUGUAUAGGAGCUGACGCCUGCCCGGUGCUGGAAGGUUAAGGGGAUCUGUUAGAGCAAUCGAAGCAGUGAACUUAAGCCCCAGUAAACGGCGGCCGUAACUAUAACGGUCCUAAGGUAGCGAAAUUCCUUGUCGGGUAAGUUCCGACCCGCACGAAAGGCGUAACGAUUUGGGCACUGUCUCAACAACAGACUCGGUGAAAUUGUAAUUCCGGUGAAGAUGCCGGAUACCUGCGACAGGACGGAAAGACCCCAUGGAGCUUUACUGUAGCUUGACAUUGGGUCUUGGUACUACAUGUACAGGAUAGGUGGGAGGCUUUGAAACCAGGACGCCAGUUUUGGCGGAGCCAUCCUUGGGAUACCACCCUUGUAGUACUGGGACUCUAACCAUAGGCCAUGAAUCUGGUCUUGGGACACUGUCAGGUGGGCAGUUUGACUGGGGCGGUCGCCUCCCAAAAGGUAACGGAGGCGCUCAAAGGUUCUCUCAGUACGGUCGGAAAUCGUACGUAGAGUGUAAAGGCAAAAGAGAGCUUGAUUGCAAGACAUACAGGUCGAGCAAGGAUGAAAAUCGGA